rnacentral:rRNA from 1 species
AUUGAACGCUGGCGGCAGGCCUAACACAUGCAAGUCGAGCGGAUGAAGGGAGCUUGCUCCUGGCUUCAGCGGCGGACGGGUGAGUAAUGCCUAGGAAUCUGCCUGGUAGUGGGGGAUAACGUCCGGAAACGGGCGCUAAUACCGCAUACGUCCUGAGGGAGAAAGUGGGGGAUCUUCGGACCUCACGCUAUCAGAUGAGCCUAGGUCGGAUUAGCUAGUUGGUGGGGUAAAGGCCUACCAAGGCGACGAUCCGUAACUGGUCUGAGAGGAUGAUCAGUCACACUGGAACUGAGACACGGUCCAGACUCCUACGGGAGGCAGCAGUGGGGAAUAUUGGACAAUGGGCGAAAGCCUGAUCCAGCCAUGCCGCGUGUGUGAAGAAGGUCUUCGGAUUGUAAAGCACUUUAAGUUGGGAGGAAGGGCAGUAAGUUAAUACCUUGCUGUUUUGACGGUACCAACAGAAUAAGCACCGGCUAACUUCGUG